AUUGAACGCUGGCGGCAUGCCUUACACAUGCAAGUCGAACGGCAGCACGGGAGCAAUCCUGGUGGCGAGUGGCGAACGGGUGAGUAAUAUAUCGGAACGUGCCCAGUCGUGGGGGAUAACGUAGCGAAAGCUACGCUAAUACCGCAUACGAUCUAUGGAUGAAAGCGGGGGAUCGCAAGACCUCGCGCGAUUGGAGCGGCCGAUAUCAGAUUAGGUAGUUGGUGAGGUAAGGGCUCACCAAGCCGACGAUCUGUAGCUGGUCUGAGAGGACGACCAGCCACACUGGGACUGAGACACGGCCCAGACUCCUACGGGAGGCAGCAGUGGGGAAUUUUGGACAAUGGCGCAAGCCUGAUCCAGCAAUGCCGCGUGCAGGAUGAAGGCCUUCGGGUUGUAAACUGCUUUUGUACGGAGCGAAAAGGCUUCCACUAAUACUGGGGGCUCAUGACGGUACCGUAAGAAUAAGCACCGGCUAACUACGUGCCAGCCGCCGCGGUAAAAC
rnacentral:rRNA from 1 species